UACGAGUGCCUCAAGCGUUAUCCGGAAUCAUUGGGCGUAAAGGUUGUGUAGGUGGUCGUGUUAGUCUUCUGUUAAAUUCUUCGGCUUAACCGGGGGCAUGCAGGGGAAACGGCACGACUCGAGGAUGCGAGGGGUCUGCGGAACUCAUAGUGUAGCGGUAAAAUGCGUUGAUAUUAUGGGGAACACCAAAAGCGAAGGCAGCAGACUGGAGCACUCCUGACACUGAAACAAGAAAGCGUGGGUCGCGAAUGGG
rnacentral:rRNA from 1 species